ACCAUCCUCCUCGCCUGCCUGUGCAUCCACAACCUCCUGAGAGACCAGGCAUCCGCUGAGCAGAAUGGCAUGAUGGACAGAGAGGACGACCAGCACAACAUCAUCCCGGGUGCAUGGAGAGAGGGGGGCGUGCUGGAUGACAUGCAACAGAGGCUUGCUGGCAACUACACCACCAAGAUUGCCAAGCGCCAGCGCCUGUACCUCAAGUAUUACUACAAUGGCACCGCCGGAGCAGUUCCCUGGCAGCAGCGCAUGGCCUAAGCAGUUGGCCAAACAUAACAAACAGACAAAUCAUGCAACUCUUGAUGCUUAAAUUUGACAACAAAAAAAUUGAACAAGGUAACGAAAGGAUGUAAAUUUAUUUAUAAAAUCUGUGUUGAGAAAAUCUUUAAAACUCCUAUUUCACAAAACAAAUGGAGGAACAUUGUUUCAAAACCAAUUGUUACUUGGGACAAAAUUUAUAUGAUUCCUUUUAAAUGUUCUUUAUCAAGAAAACUUAGAUAUUUACAAUAUAAAAUUCUUCAUAAUAUCCUUGGUGUUAACAAGUAUCUGAAAACUGUUGGUAUAUUAAAUUUGUGUUCUUUUUGUUCAAAACACUCUGAAACUAUUGCCCAUUUAUUUUGGGAAUGCCCCUUCAAUCGUCGAUUUUUAGAUGAUUUUGAAAAAUACACUCUCAAAAGUGAAAUAAUGUUAUCUUUUAAUGAUUUUGUAUUUGGCAUACCAGGUGGAAAUUAUUCUUCUUUUAAUUUUGAUAUUUUAUAUGCUAAAUAUUAUAUAUUUUCAACUAGGUGUUUAAAUGGUUAUUUAUCGUUUUCAUCAUUUAAAAAGAAAUUAAAAUAUCAGCAUGAGAUAGAACGCGUUAUGAACACGCAACGAAAUAAGUGUAUUGUACAUCUUGAUGGGUCGAGGCACAUCGAGCUUAUUUAAAUUUUGUUUUGCUAUAUUUUGUUUUCUAUACAUGUAUAAUAUUGUUUGUAAUGUAUUACAUGCAUUUUGCAUUUGAUUAUCGUCGGUGGGCAUCUCAGACUUGAUGAAAUGCGACUGAAGCAAGCUCCGAUCCACGUGGGUUUAUAUGUGGAUGGUGCGGACGCCAGAGGAAGCCGACAUGCGCAGACACGAGCGUAACUUAUCCGUAUCGUCCGUAAGUCAUCCGUAUCGUUCGUAAGUCAUCCGUAAAAUCCGUAAGUCAUCCGUAAGUCGUCAGUAACAUGUGUCAGCGGGUUGGCAGCGGAUGGGUUCAUCCGCAGGUUUUACCCGUAACAUCCGUAAUUCAUACGUAACAUCCGUAACUAAUCCGUAUCGUCCGCAGAAUAUAGGUAACUUUUGCUCAAAUUUCCGUAUUGGGGUUAAAAAUUACGCAUUUUCAUUAUCCAAAUAUACGCAGGCAUCCGCAGGUCCGUAACAUGGCCGUGUGACUGUAGCAU